rnacentral:rRNA from 1 species
GAUGAACGUUAGCGGCAGGCCUAAUACAUGCAAGUCGAACGGUAAGGCCCUUUCGGGGUACGACGAGUGGCGGACGGGUGCGUAACGCGUAUGCAACAUGCCUUCCAGCGGGGGAGUAUACCAGGGAAACGUUGGCGCAAUACCCCACUAGAAUUACGGACCGCAUGGUCUUGUGAUUAAAACUCCGGUGCUGGGAGAUUGGCAUGCGUGACAUUAGCUAGUUGGCGGGGUAACGGCCCACCAAGGCGACGAUGUCUAGCUGGUCUGAGAGGAUGAUCAGCCACACUGGGACUGAGACACGGCCCAGACUCCUACGGGAGGCAGCAGUAGGGAAUAUUGGACAAUGGGCGAAAGCCUGAUCCAGCAAUGCCGCGUGAGUGAUGAAGGCCUUAGGGUUGUAAAGCUCUUUUACCAGGGAGUNACAAUGACAGUACCUGGAGAAUAAGCUCCGGCUAACUCCGUGCCAGCAGCCGUCGGUAAUGUGACU